UCGAUCGUUGCUCCCCCCUUUAAUGAGAUGACGUUUGCGCACGUCGAGUCUUGCAUACCGUUCCUGAUCGUUGGGUGGCUUUUGCGGGUUAGAUUGAUCCGUAGGUCCCCCUCCUUCUAGCGCCAAAUUGUGGGAACCGAAAUUCACACUGUCGAUUUCCGUUUAAGUAAGGAAACUAGGAAAACCCUAAUUUCCCAGAGGACCCGGAUAUCUGGUAAUUACCACACGUCAAGCAAUCAGAACACGAGAAUAACAACGAUAAAGUAUAAGAAAUCGAAAAGAGAGCAAAAAGAUCUUAUUCCGAAUUUGCGUAUGAGCGUUUACAACAAGGUAUAAGCCUGGGCUCGAG
rnacentral:lncRNA from 1 species